UUUCUCGCCUUCCUCUCUGUCAUUUUUUCAUAAUAAUGAACUGGCAGCAGCCAGCGUCAUCUCACAAGACCCUCGGGUGCCGUGAAUGUCAAUCAAGCAAGCUACGGAAUUUGCCACCAAUGUUUUUCUUGUAAAGUGUAUGGAAGCUGGAUGAAUUAGAUGCCAAAAACCAACCACUUUCAUGUGGUAUUGUACAGAAAGGACAACUUUUUUUCUCCUCCAUUUGAAAAUGUGGGCGUUAUCAUCAUUACUGUCUGAUUCCAAUCAAUGCAAGUCAUCAGAAUCAGGUAAUACACCAACUUAUAUUCUUGUCUUUGUGAAAGAAAGACAUCUAUAUGUGUUACACAUGCUUGUAUUAUCAUUAAACACAUUUAACUUGUUUACAAAAAUGUCUCUUUCAUAAAUAAAUAAAUAUAAAUGAUAUAUAUAAAUGAGGUAGAUCCCCUCGAGUUGGUCAAUUGAAAAGUAGCUCGCCUGCAGAAAAAGUGUGGGCACCCCUGGUAUACAUUAUAUUGCCAAAAGUAUUUGGCCACCUGCCUUGACUCACAUAGAAAAUGGUAGUGCCAUCCCAUGGAAUUGUCCAGAAUGUUUUGGUAUCCUGGAGCAUUCAAAUUUCCUUUCACCGGAAUUAAGAGGCCAAGCCCAACUUUUGGAAAAACAACCCCACACCAUAAUUCCUCCUCCACCUAAUUUCACACUCGGAGAAUGUAGCGUUCUCCUGGCAACCUCCGAACCCAGACUGGUCCAUCAGAUUGCCAGAUGGAAAAGCGUGAUUCAUCACUCCAGAGAAGGCGAGCAGUGGUUCUCAAAUGGGGGUACACGUAGCCCUGGGGGUACUUGAAGGUAUGCCAAGGGGUACGUGAGAUUUUUCCAAAAUAUUCUAAAAAUAGCAACACUUCAAAAAUCCUUUAUAAAUAUACUUAUUGAAUAAUACUUCAACAAAAUAUGAAUGUAAGUUUAUAAACUGUGUAAAGAAAUGCAACAAUGCAAUAUUCAGUGUUGGCAACUAGAUUUUUUGUGUACAUGUUCCAUAAAUAUUGAUGUUAAAGGUUUCUUUUUUUGUGAAGAAAUGUUUAGAAUGAAGUUGAUGAAUCCAGAUGGAUCUCUAUUACAAUCCCCAAAGAGGGCACUUUAAGUUGAUGAUUACUUCUAUGUGUAGAAAUCUUUAUUUAUAAUUGAAUCACUCGUUUUUAGUAAUUUUGAUAUCUUUUUUUCCAAAUAGUUCAAGAAAGACCACUACAAAUGAGCAAUAUUUUGCACUUUUAUACAAUUUAAUAAAUCAGAAACUGAUGAUAUAGUGCGUUAUUUUAAUUCUUAAUCUCAUUUUUUCAAUCAAAAAUGCUUUGCUUUGAUUAGGGGGUACUUGAAUUAAAAACAUGUUCACAGGGGGUACAUCACUGAAAAAAGGUUGAGAACCACUGCCCUAAUGCAUGUUCCUUGACUGCACUUGAAUGUAGAAUAUAUUUACAUUAUAUUCUAUGUACAGUAGAUGGCAGCAUUGUCCUGUUUAAGAGGGUCACAACAUUGAGUCAGGUCUGCAUGGAGCUGGAGGGGCGUGGCCUCCAGCUUGGCCUGAAUUUCGGGAGAAAAUUUGUCCCGGGAGGUUUUCGGGAGAGGCGCUGAAUUUCGGGAGUCUCCCGGAAAAUCCGGGAGGGUUGGCAAGAAAGUGUUGGUGGAGGCGUACACACUGUUAAUCAGUGGGAAUACGGGAAGAUCGAACGUGGCUCCGGCCAGGGAGGACACUCUGAGAGCUUCCUGGAUUUCACUGGACAUAUAAAGCCUCCCGGAAGACGUUCCACCCUGUGAAGAAAAUGGCCAGGAUGAGAGUAAUCGUACCUGCAGAACAGCUUCUCCAGGGACAGAAGGGGGUACAGGGCGGACGAGCGUCUCCACAGCCACAGGAGCUCAUCGUUAAGGGUCUUCUCAGCAGGGGGGCACUGGCCGGUGUAGUUGGCUGAAGCAGUUUGGGCGGGUUCCCCGUUGUAGCAGCUCGGAGCCAAACGGAGAUCAUCAGAUAACGGGAUCAGUUUGGAUUACACUGCAAGGUGCCGGCAGCGGAGAGAGACAGACUUUUCUCUAAAUAACCACGCUGGUAUUCCUUACCUGGGACCACUUUUCCACCUCCUCGGGAGUCCAGUUAGGGAAGAACGCCUUCAGGAGGUUCCGGGAAGCUGCCUGAUAAACGGCCUUCUUCUCCCUGUUUCUCAGCCACUGGGGUAGCCACUCGGACCACCUCAGCACCCCCAGGCCGAGGUACCUGGGGGCGGGCAACGCCGCGUCGAGGAAAUACGGGUAGUUUCCCAGCGUGUCCUCGUAGAAGACCACCACCCGGCCUUCACGUUCCAUUCCAAAAGAUCCAGGGUCUGGCCUGGCGGAGCAGGAGGAAUCGGGGAUGGCCCAGAAAAUGAUAAAAGGCUGUCCGGACAGCAGUGGAGGGCGUGCUGGUCGGGGCGGUCCAGCUGUGCUCAGGCCAGCGAGCAGUAAGACCAGGAGGCUCAGUGGAACGGUGGAGCACGACGGGACCGAUGGCUUAGUCCUGCCUUUCUUGUUCCACGCCAUCGAAGCUGGUAACACUCAGCCUGUCACUCCUUCAGCCGCCAAUCAUGUUUCUGAAAAAGAGGAUUCCGCAAAUCCGAAAUUGGCGUCAUGAUCAAGAAAAUGCACCAAACAUGCGGUGUCAUUUAAAUGUCAUUUACAAACCCCGUUUCCAUAUGAGUUGGGAAAUUGUGUUAGAUGUAAAUAUAAACAGAAUACAAUGAUUUGCAAAUCCUUUUCAAGCCAUAUUCAGUUGAAUGCACUACAAAGACAACAUAUUUGAUGUUCAAACUCAUAAACUUUAUUAUUUUUUUGCAAAUAUUAAUUAACUUAGAAUUUCAUGGCUGCAACACGUGCCAAAGUAGUUGGGAAAGGGCAUGUUCACCACUGUGUUACAUCACCUUUUCUUUUAACAACACUCAAUAAACGUUUGGGAACUGAGGAAACUAAUUGUUGAAGCUUUGAAAGUGGAAUUCUUUCCCAUUCUUGUUUUAUGUAGAGCUUCAGUCGUUCAACAGUCCGGGGUCUCCGCUGUCGUAUUUUACGCUUCAUAAUGCGCCACACAUUUUCGAUGGGAGACAGGUCUGGACUGCAGG